CGGGCUGAGUAACACGUAGGAACGUACCCCAAACUGAGGGAUAAGCACCAGAAAUGGUGUCUAAUACCGCAUGUGCUCUUCGGAGUAAAGCUUCGGCGGUUUGGGAACGGCCUGCGCAUGAUUAGCUUGUUGGUGAGGUAAUAGCUCACCAAGGCGACGAUCAUUAGCUGGUCUGAGAGGAUGAUCAGCCAGACUGGGACUGAGAACGGCCCAG
rnacentral:rRNA from 1 species